GCAGCAUAUACAGCUGGUUUCAAGUUAAAGGUUGUGGAAUAUGCCAAGCAACAUGGAAAUAGGGCUGCAGCAAGGCAUUUUGGAGAGCCACCAACAGAAUGUACAAUACGAGAGUGGGGUAAAAUGGAAGAAAAACUCAAGACAUUAUCAAAAACAAAAUGCAAUUUUCGCAGCGGUAUUGCUAAAUGGCCAAAAUUAGAAGAACGGGUGAAGGAAUUUGUACUUAAU